rfam:Otolemur garnettii contig127942, whole genome shotgun sequence.
GCGCCUGUGGUUCAAAAGGGUAGGGCACUGGCCCCAUAUGCCAGAGGUGACAGGUUCAAAUCCAGUCCUGGCCA